rnacentral:rRNA from 1 species
UACGGAGGGGGCUAGCGUUGUUCGGAAUUACUGGGCGUAAAGCGCACGUAGGCGGCUUUGUAAGUUAGAGGUGAAAGCCCGGGGCUCAACUCCGGAAUUGCCUUUAAAACUGCAUCGCUUGAAUUGUGGAGAGGUGAGUGGAAUUCCGAGUGUAGAGGUGAAAUUCGUAGAUAUUCGGAAGAACACCAGUGGCGAAGGCGACUCACUGGACACAUAUUGACGCUGAGGUGCGAAAGCGUGGGGAGCAAACAGG